rnacentral:rRNA from 1 species
CGUGUAGGCGGCCAGGUAAGUCAGAUGUGAAAGUCCCGGGCUCAACUCGGGAAGUGCAUUUGAAACUGCUUGGCUUGAGUAAGAGAGAGGGAAGUGGAAUUCCUGGUGUAGAGGUGAAAUUCGUAGAUAUCAGGAGGAACACCGGUGGCGAAGGCGGCUUUCUGGCUCUAUACUGACGCUGAGACGCGAAAGCGUGGGUAGCAAACAGGAUUAGAUACCCUGGUAGUCC